GCUGGCGGCAUGCCUAACACAUGCAAGUCGAACGAGACCUUCGGGUCUAGUGGCGCACGGGUGCGUAACGCGUGGGAAUCUGCCCUAGGGUGCGGAAUAACUCGGAGAAAUCCGUGCUAAUACCGCAUAAUGUCUUCGGACCAAAGAUUUAUCGCCCCUGGGGAUGAGCCCCGCGUAGGAUUAGCUAGUUGGUGGGGUAAAGGCCUACCAAGGCGACGAUCCUUAGCUGGUCUGAGAGGAUGAUCAGCCACACUGGGACUGAGACACGGCCCAGACUCCUACGGGAGGCAGCAGUGGGGAAGUAUUGGACAAUGGGCGAAAGCCUGAUCCAGCAAUGCCGCGUGAGUGAUGAAGGCCCUAGGGUUGUAAAGCUCUUUUACCCGGGAUGAUAAUGACAGUACCGGGAGAAUAAGCUCCGGCUAACUCCGUGCCAGCAGCCGCGGUAAUACGGAGGGAGCUAGCGUUGUUCGGAAUUACUGGGCGUAAAGCGCGCGUAGGCGGUCCAUCAAGUCAGAGGUGAAACGG
rnacentral:rRNA from 1 species